GGUGGCCCAGUGGUAAGAGUGCUUGCCUCACAUGCAUGAGGCCCUGGGUUCAAUUCCUCAGCACCA
rnacentral:tRNA from 1 species